AGGACGAACGCUGGCGGCGUGCUUAACACAUGCAAGUCGAGCGGAAAGGCCAUUUCGGUGGUACUCGAGCGGCGAACGGGUGAGUAACACGUGAGUAAUCUGCCCCUGGCUUUGGGAUAGCCACCGGAAACGGUGAUUAAUACCGGAUAUGACCCGCCCUCGCAUGGGGGUGUGUGGAAAGUUUUUUCGGCCAGGGAUGUGCUCGCGGCCUAUCAGCUUGAUGGUGGGGUAAUGGCUCACCAUGGCUUCGACGGGUAGCCGGCCUGAGAGGGUGACCGGCAAGCUGGACUGAGACACGGCCAGACUCCUAGGGAGCAGCG
rnacentral:rRNA from 1 species